UACGUAGGGCGCAAGCGUUGUCCGGAAUUAUUGGGCGUAAAGAGCUCGUAGGUGGCGUGUCGCGUCUGCCGUGAAAGCCCAUGGCUUAACUGUGGGUCUGCGGUGGAUACGGGCAGGCUGGAGGCUGGUAGGGGCAAGCGGAAUUCCUGGUGUAGCGGUGAAAUGCGCAGAUAUCAGGAGGAACACCGGUGGCGAAGGCGGCUUGCUGGGCCAGUUCUGACGCUGAGACGCGAAAGCGUGGGGAGCGAACAGG
rnacentral:rRNA from 1 species